rnacentral:rRNA from 1 species
CACCAGGUUGAUUCUGCCUGACGUAGAUGUUAGUCUCGAAGACUAAGCCAUGCAUGCCCGUGAACCGCGAAGGGAACGGCGAACGGCUCAGUAAUACUGCGACGAUCUGCCCUCUGCGGGAAAUAACCAGGGGAAACUGUGGCUAAGAGCGGAGGUUGAGACGCAGUCCUAUCAGCUUGUUGGCAGUGUAACGGACUGCCAAGGCGGCAACGGGUGACGGGAGAUUGGGGUCUGACACCGGAGAGGGAGACUGAGAGAUGGCUCCCACAUCGAAGGACUGCAGCAGGCGCGGAAAUUGCCCACUCUUGGUGAGGAGGCAGUUAGGAGACGUCAGUGGAAGGGCGCAGGACAGCAGUGCGUGAAGGCGAUUGGAGGGGAAGCUCGGUGCCAGCAGCCGCGGUAAUACCGACUCCAAGAGUGUCUAUGGUAGAUGCUGCAGUUAAGACGUCUGUAGUCGUGCUGCACUGAAAGGGCGCAGGCGGUGCAACGGGUUGCGGAGCGGACAGGGUGCGCAGUAUAGACGGGCGAGAGAUGAAAUGCCAAGACCCCGCCUGGACCGACGGGGCGCAGGCGGCGCGCCUGCACGCGUCUGGGGAUCAAGGACGAAGGCUGGAGUAUCAAAAGUGAUUAGAGACCUCUGUAGUUGCAGCAGUAAACGAUGCCGGCACUGCGUGGCGCAGGCUGCGCGGGGGCGAAAGCUUAGCGUUCGGGCUCUGGGGAUAGUAUGCUCGCAAGUGUGAAAAUUGAAGAAAUU